ensembl:lincRNA 2900076A07Rik RIKEN cDNA 2900076A07 gene
GGAAGGAGGGAGAAAUUAUGACACCUGAUGCUAGCGGCUUUUGUCUCGCCAAGUUGACCCAGUAUUUGGCCACCUUGUGCGGCGGGUGACUAUGGUGUCCCGGAUUGGUGUCAGCAGAAAACCAACAGUGAUGUGGUGGCACACAGUGAACUGACAGGACCCAGGCAGCAGCGGUUCUUUUGGUGGCAAUGGUGCCAUGUCAUGGGUACUCUCCUUGCUGAUGGCAGAUACCGACAGGCAAACUGUUGCCUUGCGUUUAGCUCUGUUAACCAUUGACAGUAAGGUAAGCAUGUCUUCAGCGUUCAUGGCUCUUAAAGAUCUUGUCUGUAACACAAGGGUUUAAGACUGGGGUCUCAUUUUGUUGUCCUGACUUAGACUUGGCAGUCCUCCUGCUUCAGCCUGCUAAGUGCCAAGAUUACAGGGUUGAGCCAGCAUGCCUAACUUCUAGUUUAGUUUCUUCAGACAGGGUCUCAUGCAGCACAGGCUGGCUUUAGACUUGCUAUUGAGCAUAGGAUUACCUUGAACCCUUGAUCUUCCUGACUCUACCUUCUAAGUUCUGGGAUUCCAGGCAUGCUCAGUUAAAACAAUAGGUGGAUUUAGUCAUAUUCUUCUGGAGACUAAGACAAUAGAGUCCUUGAAGUCAAGCUGACUCUGCCUUUAGCCUCCUACAUGAAAAGGUAGAUAGAACAGGUCUUGUUUGCAAAAUAAAUUCAAGACCUACUUAUCUACCAACAGCCAUUGCCUACGUCCCACAGUCUUCCUACAAGAAGUGGGUGCAGUGAACUCCUAGAUGAGGAAGGCUGGGAAAGCCAGAGUGGACACAGUCUCUACUAGUGAUAGAAAGGUGCUUGGAGGUCAGACAGGCGGGUUAGAAAGUUGAGAACUUGUUUCCUAUAAUGCAG